rnacentral:lncRNA from 1 species
AUGAAUGAGAGUAAACAAAUGGUCUUGGUCUUUACUUUGAUUCCUCUGAAUUCACAAAGAUGGUACUACCUGGAUGGUGGUGCUGGUGGUCCAGAAGUUUUUGGCUUCUCUAACCACAGCUGACUGCUGCUAAGUUUAAAGAAAAACCAGAAGUAAUAUAGUACCCAAGUUAAGAGCUAGACUGGAUUGGAAUACUCCUUUAUGAACAAUGAGCUGUAUGGCCUUGGGUAAGUCACUUUACCUUCCUAUGCCUCAGUUCCCUCAUCCAUUAAAUGGGACUAUAAUAGUAGCAGUCUCUUAGGCUUGGGGUGAAUAUUAAAUAUAAAUGAAAAGAGAAUCAAAUGUAUAAAUUAAAUGAUAAUAUGUAAGACACUUAGAACAACACAAGGCACUUUGUAAAUGCUAUGUAUUUGCUCUUAUCGUUAACACAUUUUGAAGUUUAUAUAUUUGACAGAUUAUUUUACGUGCUAUAUCAUUGCUCAAUUCAACUGCUGUAACAUAUACUAUUGUCUACAUAUGCCAUAAUAUAUUUAUUUUAUCCUCUUGUUGAUGGAUAAUUGCUUCUUCCAACGACAAGUACAAACAAUAAGAAGAUGAACACUUUUGCACUCAUUGCCUGAAUAUGAUCUACAAAAAUAUCGCAAGAUAAAUACUCAGAAGAAUUCCUGGCUUAUAGGGUAUGCACACCAACAGAUUUACUUGAUAUUGCCAAAUUGCUCUCCAAGCAGUUGGGCCAAUUCAUGCUCCUAAUGUCAGUGUGUGAGAAUUUCCAUUGCUCUACAUCCAUGCCAACUCUAGCAUCUUUACCAAUCUGGUGGGUGUGAAAUGGGAGUGAAUGGCAUCUCAUUGUUUACAUUUUAUUACCAAUUGGGCUGAAAGCCUUUUCAUAUGUUUAUUGGCCAUUUGUGAUUCCUCUUCUGUUCCUAUCCUUUGCCCAUUUUUCUACUGAGUUUUCUUUUCCUUACUGCUUUGAAAGAGUUCUUUAAGUAUGGUUAGGUAAUUAUUAUCUACUGGUUUUAGAGAUUGCAAA